rfam:Ictidomys tridecemlineatus contig062632, whole genome shotgun sequence.
GGGGUUGUAGCUCAGUGGGAGAGUGCUUGCCUCAUAGGUAUGAGGCACUGGGUUUGAUUCUCAGCACCA